UGCUGAUCUGACAGGAGGCGGAGCUCAGGCAGUAAGGCUCCCGGCCACUCAUCUGCUGUGCGGCCGGGUUCCUAACAGACCACGGACACAUAGCCGUUUGCAGCCGGGAGGUUAGGGACUCCUGCUUACGGUGUAUAUCUAGAAGCAGGCUAAUCGACACUUCUCCUUCGUGCCAUCAUGUGAAGAAGGAUGUGUUUGCUUCCCCUUCAACCAUGAUUGUAAGUUUCCUGAGGCCUCCGCAGCCAUGCAGAACUGUGAGUCAAUUAAACCUCUUUCCUUUCUAAAUGACACAGUCUUGGGCAGCCCUUUAGAGCAGUGUAAGAACAGACUAAUAUAUACUCUAACAUUAGAAUAUUUUUUAGGUUUAUUGUCAAAAAUACUCUUAUACAUAGCAAGAUGUAUUUAUUUUCUAUUCUAUAAUAUUCACAUAAAAAGAACACGCUUAGUCCAAAACAUAAGUUCUCAAUGUUUUUGAUUCAUUUACAUAUAAGUUAAAGCCAAAUGUAACAUAACAUGCAUGUAAAAGGGUAAUUGGUGGCCUACUUUUCAAUGACUUGCUAGCCAUUCAUAUGAACACACAUAAAUAAGAUACGAAAUAUAUUUCACCACAACAAGCUCUGUUUUAAUAAUAGCUUUAUAUUUCGGUUGUCCAGUGGAUGAAACAUAUAUUUCUAUCCUCAGAUUUUGUAAAAACAAUCUAUUUAGUAAAAUACACAUGAGAAACAGAAGACAAAAACCUAUCUGAAUAUCACCUCAAGAUAUUUAAUAUGUAUUUGACCUCUAACAAUGAAUGGUUUUCAUGAAUUUAAGCUAUUUAUUGAAACAGGUAUUAUUUUAAAAUGCCUCAAAGAAAAAUAUGUAUGAAACCUAACAAAUGAUAAUAAUUUUAUGUAGAAGAAACAGAUGAUUGAGUUUGUGCAAUCUUAUUUUGUUAAUUUUGUUUUACAUAUGUUUCUAUAUCCUCAGAUAUAAAGUAUAGUGGUUGUAUGAUAUGUUCUGGAAAGGGGAAUGUUCAAAUCCAGUCUCUGUUACUCUGUUAUUUGGGCAUAUAUCAUCUGCCUUAUAACACCAAUUUUCUUAUAUAUAAAAUUUGUGUAUAAUAAUAUAUAACUUAUUUCUGAUACAUAGCAGUUUAUUAAUAUGAACUCUUAUAUUGUGAAUAUUGUAAAUUUUAUUUCUAUCAUCUCCUUGAGCAUAUGUGAUGCUUCAUUACUUUCUAUAUCCUUAAAUUUUAGCAGUG
rnacentral:lncRNA from 1 species